rnacentral:rRNA from 1 species
CCUACGGGGGACUGCAGUGGGGAAUAUUGGGCAAUGGGCGCAAGCCUGACCCAGCAACGCCGCGUGAAGGAAGAAGGCUUUCGGGUGGUAAACUUCUUUUGUCAGGGAAGAGUAGAAGACGGUGCCUAACGAAUAAGCCACGGCUAACUACGUGCCAGCAUCCGCGGCAAGACAUAGGUGGCAAGCGGUGUCCGGAUUUACUGGGUGUAAAGGGCGUGUAGCCGGGUUGACAAGUCAGAUGUGAAAUCCUGCGGCGUAACCGCAGAACUGCAUUUGAAACUGUUGAUCUUGAGUACUGGAGAGGCAGACGGAAUUCCUAGUGUAGCGGUGAAAUGCGUAGAUAUUAGGAGGAACACCAGUGGCGAAGGCGGUCUGCUGGACAGCAACUGACGGUGAGGCGCGAAAGCGUGGGGAGCAAACAGGAUUAGAUACCCUUGUAGUC